AUUGAACGCUGGCGGCAGGCCUAACACAUGCAAGUCGAACGAGUGGCGGACGGGUGAGUAAUGUCUGGGAAACUGCCUGAUGGAGGGGGAUAACUACUGGAAACGGUAGCUAAUACCGCAUACCAUCGGAUGUGCCCAGAUGGGAUUAGCUAGUGGGGGGGGUAAAGGCUCCCCUAGGCGACGAUCCCUAGCUGGUCUGAGAGGAUGACAAGCCACACGGGAACUGCGACACGGGCCAGUCUCCUACGGAGGGCAGCAGGGGGGAAUAUUGCACAAUGGGCGCAAGCCUGAUGCAGCCAUGCCGCGUGUAUGAAGAAGGCCUGCGGGUUGUAAAGUACUUUCAGCGGGGAGGCGUUACCCGCAGAAGAAGCACCGGCUAACUCCGUGCCAGCAGCCGCGGUAAUAC
rnacentral:rRNA from 1 species